UAUAAAAUAUCCACUAUAUGCAAAUCCAUAGACACAGAAAACAGACUGGUAGCUGCUGGGGGAGGGGCUCUAGGAACAAAUGGGGAGUCACUGCUUAAUGGAUGCAGGGCUUCCUCUAGGGUGAUGAGAAUGCUGUGAAACUAGAAAGAGAUGACAGGUACCAACACUGAAUGAAUUAAAUGCCACUGAAUUGUGUACACUUUAAAAUGAUUCGUGACUAAUUUUACGUUAUAUAAAUUCUACCUUAAAAAACCAAACAAACGCAAAAAACCCAAAUUGUAAGAGGCAAGUACAAUUAUUCUCUUUUUUUUUUUUUUUCCAAAUGAAAAUACUAUGGCACAUAAAGGUUAAGACACUUGCUUCAGGUUUCACAGGUAGUUAGAGGAAAAACCAAAACAGGAAUCUAGAUAGUCUGAUUUCAGGUAGUCAGACUCCAACUACGAUACUUACAUUCCUCAUGUUAUUCUUUUCUGCUGUUCUUUGAUUUGAUUCAAGUGACAAUAAAAGCUAAAACCGAGCUCUAAAGGGGGAAGGGUGGAGAAGGAAAGGGAUGACUCAACAUAUACUUAGAGUGAAUGCAUUCAUGUGUAUGAUUAAAGAACAAUGUCACUUGGUUCUGCAAUAUUGUGAAAUCGCAGCAAGGAUGCCAGCGUGGGAGAGCUAUUGAAAACUGGUCAAUGGAUUUAAUUGUUGAAGUGUUCUUCCUUUCUAAUUAGUGCAUCAUUAAGUGAAUUAAGUGAAGUCAUCUUGCUCUUUGGUAACCAAUGAGAAUUAUGAUGAGACACAGUAGGAACCACAUACACAUUUAUAGCCAUGUUAUUAAAGUAUGAACUAUUUUAAUUAAUAAUAUAUAUCAAUAAUAUAUGUCAAUUAAUUCCCCCUUUUUCUGAGGGAUCACAUAAGAUAAUGUUCGGGGCAACUUCAAAUAAUGUUAUAACAGAACAUAAGAUGUCUAAGAUUUCAGACAGGUGGCAAUAGUGGCAAAACAUGAUUAAAGACCUAUGGUAAUUGCACAAACACUUUGUUGGCUAACAAAUUAUUUUAACCUUUGUGCAUAACUAAACUAGAAAGGCUGGCUUUCAUUUAUUAUGAUUAUCCACCUCCCUUCCAGGUCUCUUUCUGGACCUAGCUGAGGUGAAACAA
rnacentral:lncRNA from 10 species